GGUCCGGAAGUGGCUUUCUCCGGUUCAAAACAAAGCAAAGUGGAUCAUAACGAGCUGGCUCAAGCAAUUAGGAUCAAAAGAUGGCUAUUAGAUGGCUGUGGACUUGUUUAUGCCAGGGCCAGUUUUACUGGGAAGAGGAGAAGAAAAUCUACAACCUGGAGCUUUGAAAUAAAUUGUCACGGAGUUUUGGAAACCCAAAGAUGGUACUUUUUUUUCUGCAGAGAUACAUGGCGGCUGUGCGACAUAUGGGUGUGUCUCGUACUGGAAAAGAGGUUCGAAUUAAGAGCGAAAUCUACAUUUAUAAAACCGAUGAGGGGAAAGUGAUAGUGGAGGAUGAGUUUCUGAGCUUCAUUGUUACGAAAAUGAGAACUUUAUCUCAGGAGGAAAUUGUAUUAUUGGCCUCAAAUAAUUUCUCCUCUGAGUGGA